rnacentral:rRNA from 1 species
AUUGAACGCUGGCGGCAUGCUUUACACAUGCGAGUCGAACGGUAACAGGCCGCAAGGUGCUGACGAGUGGCGAACGGGUGAGUAAUGUACUGGAACGUGCCCAGUCGUGGGGGAUAACGCAGCGAAAGCUGUGCUAAUACCGCAUACGAUCUCUGGAUGAAAGCGGGGUACCGUAAGGCCUCGCGCGAUUGGAGGCGCCGAUAGCAGAUUAGGUAGUUGGUGGGGUACAGGCUCACCAAGCGGACGAUCUGUAGCUGGUCUGAGAGGACGACCAGCCACACUGGGACUGAGACACGGCCCAGACUCCUACGGGAGGCAGCAGUGGGGAAUUUUGGACAACGGGCGCAAGCCUGAUCCAGCAAUGCCGCGUGCAGGACGAAGGCCUUCGGGUUGUAAACUGCUUUUGUACGGAGCGAAACGGCUCUCUCUAAUACAGGGGGCUAAUGACGGUACCGUAAGAAUAAGCACCGGCUAACUACGUGCCAGCCGCCGCAGUAA